UCUCUCUCACCAAAAUUUCUCAUUUCCACUUCUUCCCUUUUCUUUUUCUUUUUCAUUGAGCUCAUCUUCAUGCUUUUCUUCUUUUCUUUUCUUUUUCUCAUGAAUUUUUCUCUUUUCAUAACAAUUGAGCUCAAUGCCUUUUACUUGCUUUUUCAAUUUUCCCCCGUACAACCCCAAACUUGAACCUUUUCAUCACAUACAAUUAAGCUNAUCCCAACUCAAGGUAAAGAGUUUCAAAACAAGGGUUCACAUACUGUUUAAGGCUAAGGUUCAAAAAGGGUAUAAUAUUUCAAGCACUUUGGUUGAAAAUUUGGCUAGAGAAGGGUUUUCAAAAAUGGCCUUGAUCAUAUGACAUUCACAUGCAAUUCAGUCAAUCAUCAAGAUUAAGGCAAUAUCAUCCAUGUUUUCCUGUGAACAAUACAUGCAACAAUAAAAACUCUAGAGCUCAAAAUCUCACACACAUGCUUCCUCACACAAAAUUCAUU
rnacentral:lncRNA from 1 species